rnacentral:misc_RNA from 1 species
GUAGUGACAGAAGGAAUAUACAGCGGAUUAUUCAGCCUCAAUCAUGAUAGUAACAAGGACGGCACUUCCAGAACGCUUGAAAUUGAGAUUGUCUGGACCAACAGGCCAUCAGAAUGAUAGCCUGUGAAGGGUUUAGGCAUUUUAUACAAGAAACCCACUGAAAUCAGGAACGGCAAUCAACCAAAUGAGAGAAGAAUAAUUAAUAUUCAUUCAUCUCAUCCAAUGGGAUGCAGGAAGUUGUCUUGCUUGUAAGUGUUUACAGUUUGAAGGUCCAGUUUUGUAGUAGCAAAACAUAUUCUGCCUGACAUGUAAAGUGUACUCAUUAAUUUGCAGAGGUGAAAAAGGGUCGAGGGUUGUUCCCACGGCAUAGGAAAACAUACAAAUUGUCUAGUAGUUUGCUGUACAGGUCAGUCUGUAGGUAUUAGCAGUUAAAGCCCACGAUAGAGAAAUAGCACCGAGAAAAAUGAUGAAAUCAAGCUUUACCCUAAGAAGGGGGGUUUUCGAUGGUAGGAAUAAGUUGUACUUCUUGUAAUGAGUUAUUUUGGCAAAUCAACAAAUCACUAUAAUGGGA